GUUUACAUCAUUCCUCUAUACCGAGGUCCUAUUAUUUAGCACUACUUAUACUCAGUAUUGGAAGCUAAUACAAAUAUAGCUAAGGAAAACUAUCAAUUUGCCUCAAUCCAAUCUUCCAUCGACUGCAUUUCUGCCUCUGGUAUGAAUAAGAAGGGCAAUCUCUCUACAGAUAUGAGUCUCUUCAUACUUUUUCAAAUCAAAUCUGAUUCUAUUCCUUUCUCUGUAGAUAAUUGCAAUUGUAUUGAUGAACACACAAGCUGUUAUUGAAUUAAGGGCCACUCUACUUUUUGCCUUAGUACAUAUCCAUUGCAAUUCAGUUUCCUAGUCACCUACUGCCCUAUGAUGUCCCAACCAUAUCCAAUGUCUAUUCCACAACCUUUUUGUGACUGAAGACACCCAAUGUCCUAUGAUGUCCCAGCCAGAGGCAAAGUCGAGUCCACAGCCUUCUUGUAACUGAACAAUCAAAGAUAAGGUGAUCAGAGGUUUCUGGCUGCUGAUGACAGAAUAUACAAUUGACAGAAACUUGAAUGCUCAUUUUCAUCAAUCUGUCUAAUGUAGGAAGUCUUUUUUGUACUGAUAACCAAUCAGUAAAUCUGUAUCUUGGCUGAGCAUUGGGUAGUAGCAUCAGGCUCCUCCAUGGAACUUUGCUGAAAAUAGGUAGCAAUGUGAGGUAUAGCUUCUGAAUAUGAAAUUGCUCCAAUGUACAGAAACUUUGUAGUCUGUUAAGAAGGUUGCCUUGGUUAAGUUGAUUCCCCAUGACAAUAGUUCUACUAUCAAGUAUUUUCCUCACAACCCAAGAGGCUGCCUUAGGUGUGAUCAUAGUUUCCAAGUCCAUUUGCUUA
rnacentral:lncRNA from 1 species